CGACACAGUCUCGGGGCAGUUGUCCAUAGAUCGGGAAACCAGGGAAAAUCUUUCCCACAGUUUAGCCAAAACGCCUACCACCCAUCCACUGAGUCACAUCCGAUCCGUUAAAGUUCAUGGGCAACUUCCCGAAAGUUUAGGGGGCCAGUGUAAAAUUACGCCAAACAUCCGCACGUGUCCCGGAUACACUAUCCACAAGCUUUGGCAGCUCGAAGUGAUCCCGGUUCCCCUGGUGGUUAUCCUUAUCAGUCCGAUAUCUUGUGCCCGUAUCUCUGCUGUGCUUCGUGCUUACAGUUCCACAGUUUUUGACACAACUUUAAACAGGGAAAGUGUUGUUCGAGAAAAAAAAGGUUCUAUCUGUGCUGGUGUGUAUUCGCUUACAUUAGCUUCUAGUGUAGGAUAGUUUCGGUUGUGUUGCGUGUGGUUCACCCUCUUCCUAUCGAGUUGAAGUUCUGAGUAGUCGUGAAAAGCAGUGUGCGUGUGUGUGUGUGUGCCUGUAAUUUAGCAAGUGUGGUCUGAAAUUCUCCAUUCUCCCUCAGAAUAUAAGCAAAAAGCGUCGGCUAAAAAGCUUACUAAAGGUGCACACAUCACGGUGUGCCAGUGUUGCGAGAAAGUGUUAAUUAAAUUGUUGCAGUGCUGAGUGGGCAAUAGUGUGCGUUUGUGUGUGUGUGUGUGCGCGCUAGGUGUUUACCUUUGGAGCUGGUGAAAAAGCGUUAGAAAAAAAAAAUGGCCUGGGGAUACUGGAGCGCAACGGCGGUCGAUCGUGGUCGAUCACCGCGGCGCAAUACACAGCUACCGCAAACCCAGUACCAUGUCCAGGGCUAUCAGCAGCCAGUACAGCAGCAGCAGCAGCAGCAGCAACACCAGCAAUACAGCCUGGCGUCGAGCCAAUCGCAGCAACCGUCGAUGCACUGCAGUGCCCUGUCGCUCAACACCUGUCCGCAGGCGGUCGAACUGCCGACGCUUCAGCAGCAGCAGCAGCUCAUCUGCAGCAACGGUUCCCAGCCGCAGCUGCACCAGCAGCAACAGCAACAGCAGCAAAUCUGCUCGAGCCCGUGCCACAGUCCCUGUCACAGUCCGCAGUUUAUCGAGCAGCUACCGCCGGAGCUGCCCUGCACCCCCUGUACCUUCUCGCGUAGACAGUCACUUGAUAGUCCACAGGUAGAUCGAUGCCAAUCGCUAGCACUACUGGGGCGUGCCGAGGCGAACCAGCUUUCGGAUAUCAUCUGUCGGGCGACGCAGCCUUCGAUCCAGUCGGCGGGCAACACUUUGACGCGUGGGACAUCGUUGCGCGAUACUGGCGAUUACGCGGUACCUCAUCCACACCCGCACACGCACCACUACAUGUCCACCUCGGCGACGCCGCCCUCGCUGAGUCGCGUCGGGUCCUGUCCGGGUUCGACGGGUGGAUCGGGUUCGGGGCACGGGUCCGGUUCCGGCUCCAGCCCGGGCGGUGGUCCCGGGAGUGGUGGAGGAGGCAGCGGUAGUGUGGGUGGUGGUGGCGUGGGCAGUGGGGUGGGGAUCUGCGGUGGUAGUAUACUGGGUGGUAGCCAGGGCCGGUUGGAGUACAUCGAAUGUUCGCACUACGAUCGGAUGCCAUUGCCGAUCCCGGUACAGAUACCGAUCGUGCCACCGCCGCAACUACACUCGGAGGACGAAAUUGAACCGGCGUAUGCUACAGUAUUUCCAAAUGUGCCGUCUGCUCCGGGAUUGUCCUGCGUCGGUGAGGACCGAAGCAUCUACCGAAGAGGAGCUCGAAGAUGGCGCAAACUGUACCGGAUAAAUGGACACAUCUUCCAAGCGAAGCGAUUCAAUCGAAAAGCCUUCUGCGCCUUUUGCCAUGACCGUAUCUGGGGUCUGGGUCGGCAGGGAUUCAAGUGCAUCCAGUGCAAGCUGCUGGUGCACAAAAAGUGCCACAAGCUUGGCAAUAAACCGUGCAGCAACGAGCAUGUCGAACCAGUCUACAAGGAGCGAGAUCACCACGAUCCAAAUGAUGAGUCCAGCGCAGGUGACGUCAUUCAGGCCCCGUUGGAUUAUCCGUCCGAGCUGCAUUCGAGUGACGGUUGCGAUCAGGUACCGGUGGAGGUGAACGACAACGUCGAGGAACCGCUGGAACCAGUCACUCAGCGGCAAUACUCGCUGAAUGAUUUCGAAUUGAUCCGAGUCAUCGGUCGCGGUAGUUACGCCAAGGUGUUGAUGGUGGAGCUGAAGAAGACACGCCGGAUUUACGCGAUGAAGGUAAUCAAAAAGGCGCUGGUCACCGACGACGAGGACAUCGAUUGGGUGCAGACGGAGAAACACGUCUUCGAGACCGCAUCGAACCAUCCGUUCCUGGUUGGUUUACAUUCGUGCUUCCAGACGCCAUCGCGGCUGUUCUUCGUGAUUGAGUUUGUGCGUGGUGGAGAUCUGAUGUUUCAUAUGCAGCGACAGCGCCGCCUGCCCGAGGAACACGCCCGGUUCUAUGCGGCCGAAAUAAGUCUUGCGCUGAACUUCCUGCACGAGAAGGGCAUCAUCUAUCGGGAUUUAAAGCUCGACAACGUGUUGCUUGACCACGAGGGUCACAUCAAGCUGACGGAUUACGGCAUGUGCAAGGAGGGCAUCAGACCGGGCGACACGACAUCCACGUUCUGCGGUACACCCAACUACAUCGCGCCGGAAAUCUUACGCGGAGAGGACUAUGGUUUCUCCGUCGAUUGGUGGGCACUGGGGGUGCUGCUGUAUGAGAUGUUGGCGGGGCGCAGUCCGUUUGACAUUGCCGGUGCUUCCGAGAAUCCGGAUCAGAACACCGAAGACUAUCUGUUCCAGGUGAUUCUGGAAAAGACGAUCCGUAUACCGCGUUCGCUCAGUGUGAAGGCCGCCUCCGUGCUGAAAGGUUUCCUGAACAAAAACCCGGCCGAUCGUUUGGGCUGCAACCGCGACUCCGCAUUCCUGGACAUCAUGAAUCACUCGUUCUUCAAGAGCAUUGACUGGGAGAUGCUUGCACAAAAGGAAGUGACGCCACCGUACAUCCCUUCGUUUGACGGGUGCGAUCAGGACAUAACCUGUCACUUCGAUCCGCAGUUCACGCGCGAACCGGCCGAGCUGACACCGGACGAUCCCCGCGUCAUCGAUAAAAUCGAUCAAUCCGAGUUCGAAGGAUUCGAGUAUGUGAACCCGUUGCUGAUGUCGUUGGAAGACUGCGUUUGACAUCACGCAUCCUGCGAGCUGCAUCCAUACAACAUGCAGUUUGAUCGAGAGAUGGGAUUAGUUUCUAUCAUAAAUGACGAAUAGAAGCGGGAUAAACUAUACGGUGACGAUUCUAGCGAUUACGAUUCCGUUGUGGAUGAGCUAAGCAUUCUUCAAUUACCUCCACCACCAUCGAAGAGUCUACUGCAGCACAUGUUUUGCCUUCCAUUGAACUAGCCACAAGUUUAGCCACAGCCAAACUGCAACAACAAAAAAACCCCACUAGCGUGAGUGAGAAAGCAAAGACGUGAAGACGGCGAUUGCUUCUGGCUGACGACGAUAUGACGAGACCGACCGACAGCAUCAAGAUCGACUUCAGCGGCAACUCGUUCCAGACAGCUGUUUUGUAUUUUUUUGGUUGUUCUUCGAGAUUAUGUAUUAUCUGUACUUAAUAUUGUUUGUUUAAAAAAGAAUAUUCUGCGUUACAAUGCUUCAUUGGAAAUGGAAAGCCUUUGUGGGAGUGCUAAUUUUGUGUUCGAUCAUAAAUUUUGUUCAAUUAAUCAGAGAGAUGGCAGUGAUUUAAAAAAAUGCAAUUAAAUUCAGCAAUUAGAACGUAUCAUAUGCCAGCAAAACGCCGCUAAUGAUGAUGUUAAAUCCAACUGCCGCUGGUUCGAUGACGCUUACAGGAAAUGUGCCACAUUUCCAACUUCCCUAACUCUCUCUCUCUCUCUAUACGAUUAAUUUUCUUCUUGUAUGUUCAUAUUCUACAGUAUCUUCCACUCGAGUAUGCACAGUAUUUUUGUCUUAAAUAAGUAAAGAAACUGGCAGAAUGACAGUAAAACCCCCAAGAACAAACUACCACGACAAGGCGGCUCACUGAACAAUGAUGAGGAUGAUGAUGCUCCGUGAUGACAGUAGCUCAUUCGAUGUAAAAGGCGGGCAAUGGUUGGCAGUAAAAAAACACACACACACACAAACUUUAAUCUAGCAUAUAUAAUACUAGACAUAUUUAACAAGAACUUAUCAUACAACGUAAAAGAGAGUUUCAAAACAAAACAAAACAAAAAAUCAAACAGGCCCUACAUAUUGAAGAAAACAAAGAAACACCCCCGGGAAGGAAUUAUAUAGAAAUUUGCAACAACAACAAAACUUUUAGAACAUGCAAACAACAGAACAUCGGUUUACUCCAAUUUAAAGCAUUCCGCUCUACCACACCUUAACAACCAUUCGUUUUUUUCUCCCUUCCGCGGGUGAGCGCCUCACGGACACAGAGCCACACACGUGAGCAUAACUUAUAUUAAACAAUACGUUAGUUAAAUAACAAAUCAGAGGCAGCAUGUUAUGAAGUGAAAGAAAGGGAGUUACACACAAACACACAUACAAUUGCACAGUAUCGUUAACAAAUGUAGUAGUGGAAAAGGAAGAAAAAAAUGACAGCAUAAUAAGCCGUGACUCUGGGCGUGAUAAGUAACGGGCGGGGGGGUGGGCAGCAAGGCUUAUGCAAACAAACAAACAAGCAAACAAAACCAAACUGGAUUGAAGAAUCAAAAUUUGAACGAAAGCACGCUAAUGCCCGACUGCUGCAAGGGAGGGAGCGGAGAGGGAGCAUUUGUUGCAUAGCUGAUUGCGAAGAGAUGGAUGGGUGUUUAGGUAACAAAUUUAUUAUUAAGAAUUACUACAACAAAAGAAAUGGGUGCCCGAUAAAAAGAAUGUAGUUGAAUUGUUAGGCACAAGGAAACAAAAAGAAAACAACGUUCAACGUUCAAGAGCAAGGAAAUAAUAUGGGAGGGGGAAAAAAGAAAGAAAACUCAUAAACCGCAAAAAUGGGAAAUUUUAAAAAUUUUAGACUCGAAACAAGGGAAGCUGUUAGAACAAAGAUUGCGUGUUGCUGCUCCUAUAUUAUAGCCAGACAGUUAAGCACUUACAUUGAUGAUCGGCUUCGGUUCGGCAAAAGGGGAAUGUUAAUAUUGAUGCAACUUGGAAAGCUCUAAACCACACUUACACACACUCACAGCAAAGCAAGUAAAGCAAGUAAAGCCGGAACAUCGUCAUACUGUAGUGGACCGUUUUUUUGUACAUGAGUUCACAAGGAAGUAUGAUAGCAAAAAGAAGGGGGAAAACAAACAAUAUGAAUAAUUAUUGCAAUGCAAAACUCUCGUAGAAGCGCACCGGUAAAAAGAAGGGGAAAAAAAAUCUAACAAACAUUACAUAAAACGAAAUCACUAAAAGCGGGGGGCAGCGAUUGGGAUAGAAAAUUGUAAAACUGGAAAAAGAAAGAAGCAACUCGUAAGGAGCAUUAUUCCGCUGGAGGAACUGUGUGAGUGUGAUGUUUUGCAAUCUUGUUUGCUUGUUAGUGAAGGUGCGGUGCGUCAGGUGUGUUCUUUGUUUACCCAUUCUCCAUUACAGGGUUUCUCAUGGCCAGUGUUCACCAUUGUAACACGUACGUAUGUCAACAGUAUAAAAUGCUAAUCCCGACAUCGUAUAUGGUGUUGAAAACCCUUCUUUAAUUUAUUAAACACUUUAAAUCGUUGAGAUGAUUUGUGAUGAUUUUGAUGCUAAAACUUCUAUCGAAUUUUUAAGAAAAGUCAGUAAGACUUUAAUUACUUAUGUUGAAAUAUUCCAUAAAGCAUUCUUCUUCUUCUUUGGCACCAUAACGUUGAACGGUCUUGGCCCGCCAUCGCUCUGGCUUUCUUUGACUUGAUUUACCCGUGGCUGGAUACUCAAGUUCUGUCUACGAGUAGGUGGUCUGGAUGAGAUUUCAUCCCCGGUCUCGCCUGUGGGAAGAUCGGCGCUACAAGACCUCUCGAUUGGAAUGGUACGAGAGUUAAAUUAUUUUUCAUUGUAGAGUUGUAAUUUUACGAAGUUGAAUAUUUGUUUUCCCGUUGUUGAGAAGGUUUACAAGGAUGAAUUGCAUAUACGAUAGCGGAUCAGCAUUUUAUGCUGCUGACAUAUAGUGCUACAGUGUUGAACUGGCCAUGAGAAACCCUGUACGUUGCAUUUGUGCUUUCAAAUCAAACGAUGAAAUCGGCUAGGAAGAGAUUUAGAAGAAAAAACACGAAACCCUAUUCUUUAAAUGUACCUUGUAAUUGUUCGUAAAAUUCAAACCUAUUUAACGUGCUUUUGUUUUAACCCUAAAAAACGAUUGUAACUAAAAUUCACACACCUUGUUUUCGGUUAUUUGUUGCUGGUGAUAAUGUAGGCAGCGAGCUUUUGUGUCGGCAUUUUUUUUUCUCAGUGUAAGUGUGCGCCAAGGAAAGGGAUAGGAAUGCUAUAAAGAAAGCAACACUUGGAAUGAAAGGCAAACCGUUCUUCUACGGUGAAGAAAACAGAUGCAAACCGUAACGAACAAAGAACAGAACAUUCGUGGCGAAGCCUUUUUGUAGAGAUAGUAUCAGAAGAAAGGGGAAAACAUAUUAUCGCUAAAUGCGGGUGGCUGCGAAGCGUUAUAGGGGUGCGUUGUGUGUGUGAGGUUUUGCAUUUUCCCUAAUUUACGUUUCAAUUAUUUGCAUUUUUUUCUUCUGCUGUCUACGCGCUUUACUUUCUAUAACCCUUUACCGUAUUCCUUCACUGCAUACGAACAGAUUUCCGUACGUUUUCAUUCUUUCCAUUACAUUCCUGUUUUGCAUUUCCACGUUUUAGUAUAUUACAAUAAGUAACUUUAUUAGCAAACGUUACAUAUAACACACUGAUCAGUAUGAGUUGUAAUGUUUAGUGAUUUUUUUGCUUUUGCGCACUUAGGUGUAUAGUUUAUUAUUAUCACUAUCCUUAACCUUGCGAUCCUUAAGUGUUCCGUUUCGUUUCUUCGAUCCCUACCCUCUAACCAUCGCCCUUGAAGAAGCCCCUGAAAAAAGAGAUUGUUUUUUCCUUGUUCGUUGAAGAAAAAAAAAAGAAUACAAAAAUACGAUUAACUUAUAAACUGACACUAAGCAGUAUCGAGGCAAUGAAACUUAAAAGAACAAAGCAA